rnacentral:rRNA from 1 species
AUUGAACGCUGGCGGCGUGCCUAACACAUGCAAGUCGAGCGGGAAAGUUCCCUUCGGGGAGCGAGUACAGCGGCGAACGGGUGAGUAACACGUAGGUAACCUACCCUGGAGAUCGGGAUAACCUGCCGAAAGGCGGGCUAAUACCGGAUAAGACCACGAGGGCUGCGGCCCUUGAGGAAAAAGAUGGCCUCUGCUUGCAAGCUAUCACUCUGGGAUGGGCCUGCGCGCCAUAGCUAGUUGGUGAGGUAACGGCUCACCAAGGCUGAGAUGGCUAGCUGGUCUGAGAGGAUGGCCAGCCACACUGGGACUGAGACACGGCCCAGACUCCUACGGGAGGCAGCAGUGGGAAUAUUGCGCAAUGGGCGAAAGCCUGACGCAGCGACGCCGCGUGGGUGAUGAA